rnacentral:rRNA from 1 species
AUUGAACGCUGGCGGCAGGCCUAACACAUGCAAGUCGAGCGAGCGGCGGACGGGUGAGUAAUGUAUGGGGACUGCCCGAUAGAGGGGGAUAACUACUGGAAACGGUGGCUAAUACCGCAUACUAUCGGAUAACCCAUAUGGGAUUAGCUAGGAGGUGGGGUAAAGGCUCACCUAGGCGACGAGCUCUAGCUGGUCUGGGAGGAUGAUCAGCCACACUGGGACUGAGACACGGCCCAGACUCCGACGGAGGCAGCAGUGGGGAAUAUUGAACAAUUGGCGCAAGCCUGAUGCAGCCAUGCCGCGUGUAUGAAGAAGGCCGUAGGGUUGUAAAGUACUUUCGGUAGCGAGGCGUUAACUACAGAAGAAGCACCGGCUAACUCCGUGCCAGCAGCCGCGGUAAUAC